UACAGGGGGUGCAAGCGUUGUUCGGAAUUACUGGGCGUAAAGCGCGGGCAGGUGGCCUUUUAAGUCCUUUGUGAAAUCCCGGAGCUCAACUCCGGAUGUGCAUAGGAUACUGGAAGGCUAGAGACUGGUAGAGGCGAGCGGAAUUCCUGGUGUAGCGGUGGAAUGCGUAGAGAUCUGGAGGAACACCGAUGGCGAAGGCAGCCUUCUGGGCCAACACUGACGCUCAUGCACGAAAGCGUGGGGAGCAAACGGG
rnacentral:rRNA from 1 species